UUUUGGGUUAUGGUUUCUUAAUUUUCUUAAUCAUCUCCUAGAAUGUCAACAUUAUUUCAUUUUGAAAGUGUGCUUAUUGUUUGCUAACCUUGAAUUUGCAUUCCCAAAGAAAUAUUGAAUGAACCAUUUUAUAUAGCAGUGAUUUUAAUCAGUGCCCUAACCAGCAAACUCAUUGCAAUUUAAGUUAUGAAUCUGAUGAUUUGGAGGAGAAUAAUAAUUAGGUUUUUCUGUAAUUCAAUUAUUUUCAUUUGUUAGAUAAUAAAUCUAGUUUUCUUUAGACCCUAAAGAUAAUGCCCAACACUAUGAGAAAAAGGAAACGAAUCUGCUUAAAUGCGUUAAUAGCAAUUAUAAUGUUUUAUUUGUAUAUUUUUACGUAAACUAAAGAACUUUUGAGAACAAUCCUUUGAGAUAAAUGGAGCAGAUUAGAUCCAUUUUAUGAAGAAAGCAAUGUUUUGUAUUCAUGUCUUGCUUAGGUUCAUACUGAUGAGUGACAGCCAGGAAAAGAAUGCACUACGACUUGAAAGUUCUAUAAUGCUCUUUCAUUAGUAAUUUCGAGUCUUUCACUCCCAAAUCUGUGAGUCCUAAGAGAACAUAGUACCCUCUCAUUUAUCUGCAUCAGUGGAGAUGUAUGUAAGAACAUAUUUCAAAUCAUCACUUAGAGGCUGUGUUUUGGUGGGUACCCCUGAGAUCCCCUCACCUCACUCCUUGAAGUUUGGCUAGAGAAGGACAGUUGAUGGAAGGUAACUAGAAAAAUAACAAGGCGGUCUGCAUCUGACUUGCUAGUAUUGGAAGCAGAAUUAUAGCUGAAUCUAUAUACUUACCCCAAAUGCCCAAGUGCUUGCCUCUCCCCUACAAAGUACAUUCUCACAAGUUCCUUUUGAUAUUUACAAUCAAGAUUCAAAGGGACUGUUGACUCAGAUCUAACUCCUUUCUUAUUAACACUGCCAACUUGUACUCAAAUGUGUAUUUGUAGCCUACCAUUAAAUCAAUUGGCAGUUUCCAAAGCUAGAAAGGGGACUCCAAGUAAUGAACUUAAUUUCUCAUACAUAAAGAAGUCCUUUCAAUUCCAUUUUCUGCCUUUAUGAUUUUCGAUUUUUAUCAGUGCUAUAUUUGCCCUCAGUUUUGCUUUUUUUUAGCUGUUAAAUCAGGAAUUCGGGCUUUCGAUGAGAAGGAAAUUAAGUUGAGUGUUGGUCGUUUUAUCUUGUAGUUCCUUAAGGACCUGACAUGAUUCAAGAAGAUAUAUUUCCUUUUGUGGGGAGUGGAGGGGUGGUUAACAUCAAUAGUACUGAACACAUUCAGAUAAAAUGAACAUGAAGGUAUUUUUGAGAAAGUAGAUAUUACUCUUCACACCCCCCCACCCCCAAUGUACAGAUGGGAGAUGAGACUCAGGGGUUAGAAGAC
rnacentral:lncRNA from 10 species